GAAACAUCUGGGGUCCUUCUAUUUCAUUGUCUUACAAUUAUUAGGCUUUGUGUAAACGCUCGCAGAUUGAAUGACGAAAUAAAAGAAGAAACUACAGCACAGUCAAUUUUCUCCAUGACAGCCUGAGAGAUGUAGCUGGUGCUGCCACUUUUCCUUCAUUUUUCCCUGCCUUGAAUAUGGUGGUGAUGCCUGGAGCUUCAGCAGCCAUCUUAUGGCCAUGAAAUGGCAAGCAUGAGAAUGAAAGAAAAUGCACUCAUCAUGAAAGGAGGAAGAGCAGAAGAAAUCUGGGUCACUGGUGAUAUCAAUGGAUAGCUGAAGCAGUGCUGCUCUGGAUGGAAAAUGCCCUGGGUUCUCCGAGACUUAACACCCCGCCUUGUGAACGCGAGCAAGAUUAUUCUCUCUGAGCAGCUCUUUUCACAUGUGAUAAGCUUGGCAAGUUGCCCUGGAUUGAAUUCUCACCCACUGUCUUCACCCAACCCAGCAGAGAAGAAGGCUUGUGACUGUGUAAGUGGAGCAAAAAGGAUAAAACUGGUUUAAGAAGAUGCAACUUGUGAAAUCUGGUCAUGAUUGCUCUAUCGCCUAAAAAGUCAUGUGGGGGUAUGCGG
rnacentral:lncRNA from 1 species